AUUCCUGGGACACGCCACGUCGCACACGCAGCCGCACAGGUCAUCGUCCCACCGCUGCCCCGCAGGACACGGCCGCCCCCCGCCCUGGCCUUGGCACUGGCACUCACCUGAACCCAAAGGUGUUGUGAUCCAGUUUCCAGCCCGGCUCACAGCUGGCCUCCCUCCGUCCGUUCUGACAGACGCACUCGCAGGUGGACUCCUCCAGAACCCUGUUGGGCCCGCAGAGAGCCAGCAGACCCGAGUCCAGCGCCUCUGGAAGAGAGGGAGGAUUAAAAGAGAGGAAGAAAGGGGAAAAAAAGAAACGGUAUUUAAGAUAAAAUCAGACGAUUAAGUGUCUGUGAAGUAAAAAAAAAAAAAACAAGUUAAUGAGGAUGCUUGAAUCAUCACGAUGGGCUUUCUAAACGUCACCCGAUAAUCUCCUCUAGACGAUGGUGUUUAGCUGAAAGCCUCACAGGGCUAAUUAUUGUUUAGAGAGCUGCAGUGGCUGUGGUCAAAGGUGCAGAGCAGCUGGUAUUCUCUUCCUCCCAGGCAUCGUCAGAAGAGGAGAGCGUUCCUCUCUUCGUCUUUUAGUGAUCUGCGUUUUUGCACGCAGGGACUUGAGUUUUAGCGCCGCUUGCAGACGGCGUAAUUUGUACGCGAACAGAAUCCUUUGUUUCUCCUGAUGUGACGAGUCGGGGGAUGAGGGUUUGGAGUCGGAAAGCUUCUCGAAAGAUGAAAGGCGCCGUACAUGAUUGUACACGAGAAAAAAUGCCGCAAAAACAUUCCUGCUUCAGUCGUAUCAACAGUGCGGCGGGGAGAAUGAGGUUCACACGCUCCGGCACCUUCGCCACCCGGCCGCUUU